AGAGUUUGAUCCUGGCUCAGGACGAACGCUGGCGGCGCGCCUAACACAUGCAAGUCGAACGGAGCUUAGAGAGCUUGCUUUUUAAGCUUAGUGGCGAACGGGUGAGUAACGCGUGAGUAACCUGCCCUAGAGUGGGGGACAACAGUUGGAAACGACUGCUAAUACCGCAUAAGCCCACGGUACCGCAUGGUACUGAGGGAAAAGGAUUUAUUCGCUUUAGGAUGGACUCGCGUCCAAUUAGCUAGUUGGUGAGGUAACGGCCCACCAAGGCGACGAUUGGUAGCCGGACUGAGAGGUUGAACGGCCACAUUGGGACUGAGACACGGCCCAGACUCCUACGGGAGGCAGCAGUGGGGAAUAUUGCACAAUGGGGGAAACCCUGAUGCAGCGACGCCGCGUGGAGGAAGAAGGUCUUCGGAUUGUAAACUCCUGUUGUUGAGGAAGAUAAUGACGGUACUCAACAAGGAAGUGACGGCUAACUACGUGCCAGCAGCCGCGGUAAAACGUAGGUCACAAGCGUUGUCCGGAAUUACUGGGUGUAAAGGGAGCGCAGGCGGGAAGACAAGUUGGAAGUGAAAUCCAUGGGCUCAACCCAUGAACUGCUUUCAAAACUGUUUUUCUUGAGUAGUGCAGAGGUAGGCGGAAUUCCCGGUGUAGCGGUGGAAUGCGUAGAUAUCGGGAGGAACACCAGUGGCGAAGGCGGCCUACUGGGCACCAACUGACGCUGAGGCUCGAAAGCAUGGGUAGCAAACAGGAUUAGAUACCCUGGUAGUCCAUGCCGUAAACGAUGAUUACUAGGUGUUGGAGGAUUGACCCCUUCAGUGCCGCAGUUAACACAAUAAGUAAUCCACCUGGGGAGUACGACCGCAAGGUUGAAACUCAAAGGAAUUGACGGGGGCC
rnacentral:rRNA from 1 species